AACGAACGCUGGCGGCAUGCCUAACACAUGCGAGUCGAACGAGACCUUCGGGUCUAGUGGCGCACGGGUGCGUAACGCGUGGGAACCUGCCUUUAGGUUCGGAAUAACUCAGAGAAAUUUGAGCUAAUACCGGAUGAUGUCUUCGGACCAAAGAUUUAUCGCCUUUAGAUGGGCCCGCGUUGGAUUAGCUAGUUGGUGGGGUAAAGGCCUACCAAGGCGACGAUCCAUAGCUGGUCUGAGAGGAUGAUCAGCCACACUGGGACUGAGACACGGCCCAGACUCCUACGGGAGGCAGCAGUGGGGAAUAUUGGACAAUGGGCGAAAGCCUGAUCCAGCAAUGCCGCGUGAGUGAUGAAGGCCUUGGGGUUGUAAAGCUCUUUUACCCGAGAUGAUAAUGACAGUAUCGGGAGAAUAAGCUCCGGCUAACUCCGUG
rnacentral:rRNA from 1 species